rnacentral:rRNA from 1 species
CACGUAGUUAGCCGUGGCUUAUUCCUCAGGUACCGUCACUUGCUUCGUCCCUGAGAAAAGAAGUUUACAACCCGAAAGCCUUCUUCCUUCACGCGGCGUUGCUGGGUCAGGCUUGCGCCCAUUGCCCAAUAUUCCCCACUGCUGCCUCCCGUAGGAGUCUGGGCCGUGCCUCAGUCCCAAUGUGGCCGGCCAACCUCUCAGUCCGGCUACUGAUCGUCGCCUUGGUGGGCCGUUGCCCCACCAACUAGCUAAUCAGACGCGAGUCCAUCUCAGAGCGAUAAAUCUUUGGCAGUCAGAGCCAUGCGACCCAACUGCAUUAUGCGGUAUUAGCAGCUGUUUCCAGCUGUUAUUCCCCACUCCAAGGCAGGUUACUCACGCGUUACUCACCCGUCCGCCACUAGGUAUUCCCCGCAGUUGUCCGAAAACUCCUUUGGGGGUACCCCGUUCGACUUGCAUGUGUUAAGCACGCCGCCAGCGUUCAUCCUGAGCCAGGAUCAAACUCU